rnacentral:lncRNA from 1 species
GAGCGUCUUCUAGUUUCCAUGGGAACCUCGUCCCUGGAGUCCGGGCCGCGCAAGUCUGAGUUGGGGUAGGGUGUUGCUCCUGCGAAGGUGCACUGGAGCUAGGACCGGUCUGCAGACCAUUGAUGGGCAUAGUGGGGCGCUUGAGGGAGCGAGGCCAGUCCUGCCCUGCUUCACGGAACCAUCCCUCCCGUAUUCGUCCGGGCGUCCUGGCGUCCGCGGGCUCCUGGGGCCUCGGCGUUCUGAGGUGCAGGGGCUUGGGUCUGUCCGCGUCGGGCUUGGCUCGCGCCGGCGCAGCGCAACUGCCCCAGCGCCAGGGCUGGUCACCUCCUUCCGAGGGCCUGCGCGCCGACGGCAGGUACUCCUGAAGCGCGGGCCCGGGCGCGGGCGGCCGGCGGGGGUGGCUCGUGCCGCGUGCGCACGUGGAGGUAGCGUCCGGCAGGCGUCCAAGGCGCCUGGGGCUGGAACCCUCUCUGUGGUGGGUGGUCGCGGGACUCCCAGCCCCUCUGGGUUUCAGUGCCACUCCCGCGUUACCCGCCUCCCGGCAGGUAAAAUUGGACUUGGACCGAAAUCCUCAGAUCCAUUGCGAUGCUCUCGCAGAGCAGCCCCUGGCGCUGUGUGGCCCAGAGGAAAGAAAACUCCUUUAUCUUGCCGAGCCCAGGUUCACCUCUCUGUAAAAUAAGGGCUUGAAACAGAUGAACCCCAGGGUGUCUUCUAGUGGGCGAUACUUUACCCCAUGGUGGGUUCAUUGCUCCUCACUGAGCACCAUGUGCAAGAAGAAAGGGAACUAGGUUGGUUUGAGAAAGGAUCUCACCUUGGGACGCGGAGUCAGAGAAACUUGUGCUUGGUUGCUGUUACACCUCUUGAGACUCAUGAGGACAUGUGUGUAACAGGGGAUCAUGACAGUAGCACCUCUGGUUUUGAAGGAUUAAACUAGAUAAUGCACAUGCCUUUUUUUUUAUCCAGCAUUUGCAGAUAGUAAGCAUUAUCCCAAGUCUCGGAUUUCUAAUAUUCUUAAAGCAUCCACUAGCUCUUUUCCUAAUUUCUGAAGUCGUUUUCUUAUUUCUGGGCAAAUCCAUUCUUCUAGGCAGGAUGGUUUUUAUGGGCUGAUUCUGGUGGGGGAAGCUAGAGUCUUCUUUACCCACGUUUGGAUGUUCAAGGCCAGUGUAUCUGCUCCUUCAGUGGUAAUCUAGUUUUUAUCAUUACCACACCACAUAGUAUCUAGGGAGGACACAAGGCCCAACAACACAUAGUGGGGAAGAUUCUUUCCUUCCUUAAGAUUUGUAGAGCAUGUGAGCACUUACAUGUUAUGAAGCAAACUAUUUCCUGGGCACUUUUUGAGCACUUAUUAUGUACCUGGCACUAUUCAGGGGGUACUCUGAGGGAUACAAUGAUGUAUAAGAAAAUCUUUGCCCUCAAGAAACAUAAGUUCUUGUGGGGGAAAUCUGUUAUGUGUACAGACACACAUAAUUGAAGUUGAAAGUGAUGUAUCAUAAGAGAGGUACAGGUAGCCGGGCGCAAUAGUGCACGCCAGUAAUCUCAGUGAUUUGGGAGGCUGAAGCAGGAGGAUUGCAAGUUCAAAGCCAGCCUCAGCAACUUAGCGAGGCCCUAAGCAAUUUACCAAGAACUUGUCGCAAAAUAAAACAUAAAAAGGGCUGAGAAUGUGGCUCAAUGGUUAAAAACCCCUGGGUUCAAUCCCUGGUACAAAAUUGAAUAAAUAAAUAAGGGAGGUGGGAUACAGGUAACCAUGCUAUGGAGACUUAGAGACCAGAGACUUCUGCUGCGUGUGAGCCUCCUAAAGCAUGUGGAAAGUGUGCACAAACCAAGAAGUAGGGAAGAGAUAUUCUGCACACCCUUCCCACAGCUUUGAGGCACACAGAGGAGAAAUGUCUGUAGCCCUGACUAGAAGGUAGGGGUUAGGUUUUGGUCAGUGUUUUACCACUGCUUGACAUGUGGUUGGCACAUAGCACGUAACAAUGAAUUUAUAGAGGCUGUGAGUUUCCUAUAGAGAGGACCAGACUGGAGUGUUGGUAUUACCCUGGGCCUCUAAUUAGACUUACAUUCCUCUUACAGCCACUCCAGUAAGGGAAGAAUUCAAAUGGGCUAAUGAUUAUAGAGCAAGGGCCUGAUUUUUGUCAUGUUUAGUAUAAUACCAGCCCACUGAGAGCCCAGUGGACAAGGUUUCAAAGAGACAGGAAGGUCUGUGAGCCUCUUUUCCUGGAACUGAGGUGAGGAGUUGGAAGGAGAGGAAGCAGGGCCUAGGAUCAUGCAGCGGUCUUGAGGACCAGUUCAGAUAUUCCUUUGGCUCUUGUGCCCAUCUUUGGCUCUGUUUUUUUAUGGCUCACUUUCUCUCCUAUCGGUGACCCACCUGCUAGUGGGAAACUAGGACCACCAUGCCAGCAGAUUACUAAGGCCUGCAGGUGCUGCAAAGGAACAAAGUUGGCUUUAGCAACUCCAUCUUCAGGCUGAUUUCUGGGGCCUUGUCUUUAGUCCUUCCCAGAAGCUACCACUACAGUAAAUCCCUCAGAGACAGAUACCCAGUGACCCACAGGGACGAGGCCUACCUCAGGACUUAGAUGGAGGUGUCUCUUGAGGGCACAAGUUGAGAAGAUUGACAGGGAAUUGAUUCAAGGACAGGGCCUAUUUAACUCAUUAAAGGCCUUAAUCACCCAGGAAUCCUGUGUGGCUCAGCAGAUAGGGGGAGAGUAAGUAGGUACAACCAGAUAGGGGGUAAAGCACAACUGACCACUUUUUUUUUUUUUUUUUUGCUCUAGAUAUGGGAUGGCGCAGGACUCUAAGAGGCCCAAAGUGCUCCUUUUUCUGGAGACAGGAGCCAAGGUGAAUUUGUAUCCUCCUUGUGACAGCCUUUGCUCAUACUCAGAGCCCUGCUCUGCUAUUCAUCCUGCCUCUGCAGUUUGCUCCCACUCCACUGGCUGUAGGUG